AGCUGCAGUCGAGAAUCUUUCGCAAUGGGCGAAGCCUGACGAAGCGACGCCGUGUGAGGGAUGAAGGCCUUCGGGUUGUAAAGCUCUUUCGCUUGGGAACAAGAAAGAGUGGUGAAUACCUAGUUAAUUUGAGGGUACCGGGAAAAGAAGCACCGGCUAACUC
rnacentral:rRNA from 1 species